UACCAGCACCCCGAGUGGUCGGGACGAUUAUUGGGCCUAAAGCAUCCGUAGCCGGUUCUACAAGUCUUCCGUUAAAUCCACCUGUUUAACAGAUGGGCUGCGGAGGAUACUAUAGAGCUAGGAGGCGGGAGAGGCAAGCGGUACUUAGUGGGUAGGGGUAAAAUCCGUUGAUCCAUUGAAGACCACCAGUGGCGAAGGCGGCUUGCCAGAACGCACUCGACGGUGAGGGAUGAAAGCUGGGGGAGCAAACCGG
rnacentral:rRNA from 1 species